CAGAGCAUCAUGCCCUUCGGGGUAGUUCUCCCACCCUGUGUAUUAUAUACCUUUUGUUGCUUUGGCGGGCCGCCCUCGGCCACCGGCUCCGGCUGGUGCGCGCCCGCCAGAGGACCCCAAACUCUGAAUGUUAGUGUCGUCUGAGUACUAUAUAAUAGUUA
rnacentral:misc_RNA from 1 species